GCCCCAGAUGUCCAGACACAAUUCUUGGUUUCUAUGUUUCCUGGACAAGAAUUGCGUUUGGACAAUCAGAAGC